UACAGAGGGUGCAAGCGUUAAUCGGAAUUACUGGGCGUAAAGCGUGCGUAGUCGGUUAUUUAAGUCGGGCGUGAAAGCCCCGGGCUCAACCUGGGAAUUGCGUUCGAUACUGGAUAGCUAGAGUUCGGCAGAGGGAAGCGGAAUUUCUGGUGUAGCGGUGAAAUGCGUAGAUAUCGGGAGGAACACCAGUGGCGAAGGCGACUACCUGGCCUGUUUCUUGACGCUGAGGCGCGAAAGCUAGGGGAGCAAACGGG
rnacentral:rRNA from 1 species